CGUCGGCGUCAGAGUCGCGAGCGGUGUUCCCGGGCAAACUAGAGGGAAAGUUGCCCAGCAGAGAUGGGGACGCCCGCGGCACCGACACGGUGAAAGGUGUUACGAAAAAAGAGAAAGUUGACGGACGGAGGUGUGAUCGAAGGGCGUCCGGCGGCCAGGGGGGAACAUGGGCGCCGGCCAUCACCUCCACCGCACCGCUGGAGACCGAGGGGAGGGAACACACAGAGGGCGCAACAAAGAAUGGGAGAAUAACACGCAUUGAAUCCAAAGACAAAGUUGCACGAGUUAUUUGCGACCACAGCACUGUUAAACCAGCAAAGGAAAACAACAACAUGAAUGCCUUAAAAUAAUUGAAUAUGCAGAUGAAGCUAAAACACAGAAGGGGAAACCAUUUUUCUCAAUGUAACGUAAGCUCUUAAUGCCAAGAAAAUAAUAAAUAAUAUGUAAGUUACUGCAUCGUCAUGGUCAAACACAAGAAAAUAACAAAUCCAAAUAAAAUGAAAUUAAAACAAUUACAUUUAUAAUCUAUUCAUAACCUGUCCCAAGGCAGCUCCCACAGCUUGUACCCCCACGCCCCCCCACCUUCCUCCUCCCCCUCCUCCUCUUCAUCUUCCACUCCCCACCGUUGGGUGGCAACACUUGAACACUUGGUAGGACACAUGGUGAGACAGCUGUUGCAGGGCAACAUGGGCAUCUGUGAUGCUCUUGGAGAAGGGGGGUGGGGGGGGAGUUAGGGGGUGAGGGGGAGUGGGUUGUGUGGCGAAGAGGGCAUUACUGGGUCAGGACGAAGAAGGCUGUGUGUGUGUGUGUGUGUGUGUGUGUGUGUGUGUGUGUGUGUGUGUGUGUGUGUGUGUGUGUGUGUGUGUGUGUGUGUGUGUGUGUGUGUGUGUGUGUGUGUGUGUGUGUGUGUGUGUGUGUGGGUGUAUGUGUGUGUAUUUUUCGGUUGUUUCUGCUCUGGGUGUGUAUGUGUGUGUGUGUGUGUGUGUGUGUGUGUGUGUGUGUGUGUGUGUGUGUGUGUGUGUGUGUGUGUGUGUGUGUGUGUGUGUGUGCCUGCAUGCAUUGGAUUCCAUUUGGUCCAUGGUGUUUCCGAUGUGUGUGUGUGUGUGUCUGUGUGUGUGUGUGUGUGUGUGUGUGUGUGUGUCUGUUUGUGUAUGUGUUUGUGUCUAUGUGUCAGUGUGUGUGUUUGUGUGUGCGUGCUUUUGUGUGUUUGUGUGUCCGCCUGUUUAUGUCUUGCAAAUGCUGAACAUGUUUGAGAGGUAUGCGCUAUGUAAAUAAGGGACAGGAUGGUGCAGUGAGAGUUGUGAGGGAGGCAGAAAGAGAAAGGCAGCUCGCGCGAGGAAGACACAAGACAGAUAUAGGAAGAGAAGACAGCUAGUGGGAGGAGGACAGAGAAAGGGACAGAUAAGAGUGAGAGCAGGCAGAGAACAACAUCUUUUGUGUGCCAUGCCAGUUUGUUGUUGAAAAGUAGCACCUGUCCUUUAAGCCCUGACAGAGGAGACAUUAGCAUGAAAAUGACACGGUGGUAGGAUGCUAUCUCUCGCUCCCUCCCUUAUUCCUCUCUCGCUCUUUCGGAUGCACAUGCAUGAACAGAUUCACAGACACACACACAUGACAAGCACAUGUGACAACGCGCUUGCCCACCGACAACACAAAAACACAGCCCCCCCUCCCCCCAAUCCUCAGCGCCACCACCUUUCUCUUCAGAGGGAACGGGCGUUUUCCCAGGGUUAUUAUCCCAUGCCAGGUGCCCCCCCCCCCACACACACACACACCCACCCACCACUAACACACUCUCCUCCCCAUUCCCAGUUGCUAACACACACCCUUGCCAUUUCCCUCUCCCCCCAGAGCUCCAGCGAAGCCCCACCUCGUGGUGCCAAUGUGGGCAGCCUCAAACUUGGCAUAACCUGGGCCUUCUGGUGCCCCAGAUAGCUGUGUGUGUGUCUGUGUGUAUGUGCUUGUGUGAGUGUGUGUGUGUGUGGUGUGAGUGUGUGUUUGUGUGUGUGUGCGUGUGUGUGUGUGUGUGUGUGUGUGUGUGUGUGUGUGUGUGUGUAUGAGUGUGUGUUUGUGUGUGUGUGUGUGUGUGUGUGUGUGUGUGUGUGUGUGUGUGUGUGUGUGUGUGUGUGUGUGUGUGUGUGUGUGUGUGUGUGUGUGUGUGUGUUACUGGCCCUAUUCAACGGUGGUCCAGCCCUUUAAACUGUGUCGGAGCUCCAGAUGCUGGGAGAGACCUGGAAAGAAACUGGUGGCACAAGCACACAAACACACACACAAACACACACACAAACACACACACACACACACACACACACACACACACACACACACACACACACACACACACACACACACACACACACACACACACACACACACACACACACACACACAAGUUUGCACGUAUUGCAUCAUAUAGGCAAUCAUAAUAAUCCCAGAUAUUCUUUCCUAUGAAUCUCAAUUCCUAACUCCUCAGUGAUUGGCUGCAUGGCUGCUGCUACAGUCAAAUCCAAAAGCCUUGUUUGUGGUCCACCUCCCCACAACAUUAAAUGCAUCCGUCUUCAGCGCUGCAGGCUGUUCCCACAGGAGAGUGUAUGAGACCCAUACUCCUGGCAGCAGGCUGAUGGCAGCGGGCGAGACAGAGCUAGAGAGGUGCCAGGCCAGCACCUUUUGACAGGGGACUCACAUGACAAAGAGUGGGAUGGAGAGAGAGAGAGAGGGGCCCCAGAGACCUGACAUACACACACACCAACACCACAUGUACACACACACUCACACACACGCACGCACGCACGCACACACACACACACACACACACACACACACACACACACACACACACACACACACACACACACACACACACACACACACACACACACACACACACACACACACACACACACACACACACUCACACACA